ACAUCUUCUCUUCCGGCCUGCCAGUCUGACCCACUGGCACAAGGAGGCAGUUUUGGGCAGGAGGGAAAAGCUGUCCUGAGCUGGCCACACUCCCACCCAAGUCACCUGAGGAUUGUAGGAAGGGGGCCUGGGGCUGGGCAGCGGGUAGAUCGGGCUUCCAGGACUUGGGUUUGGGGCUCUGCAAUGUCUGGCCCAGCUCAUAUCAUCAGGAAGAUUAAGGGUAAUUGAGUAACUGCUCUGGGCCAAGAUGCUUACUACUUGGAAGUUGGAGGUUGGCCUGACACCCUCCUAUUAAAUGUGCUCAUUUCCAGACUUUGAGAGCCCCUCAGAAGGCAGGGAACCAGGCCCUCCUUUGGCUGGAAGAAACCGGUGGCAACCUUGAGCAGAUCUGUUCUGACACACACAUUAUGUCCCUUAAUGCUCUCCAGCCCACGAGUGGCCUCUGGAUCCCAGCCUGGCCUCCCAGCUCUGACAGCACUGACUUUGAGGCUCCAGAGGGAGCUCUUUGGAAUACAAAUACCUCUGGACCCUCCUGAUCCCAGCUGGUGCCCCAUUCUCAUGCUAAUACAGAGAGUUUGCCAGUAGCUCCUAGAAGAAUUCGCUGCUGUAGGAAAUCCACCCCAAGCCUUCCUCCUGGCGACCGGGACAGUGUCUCUGGGGUCCUUUCCAGCCUGGCCUCCUGGUACUCAGCACUGGGUUCAGGCCCCACACCCAGCAGUCCUGGGUGUGCCGUGGGCAGGCCCCAGACCUGGACAACCUUCGCCUCCUUCUCAGCUUGGUGAACUCUUACUCAUCCUUCAACGCCCAAUUCAGAUAGCACUUCCCUGCGAAGCCCCCCUGACUCCUCCAAGCUCACUUCCUCCUCUAUGCUCCCACUUCCCACGCCUCUAAGGCAUUGCCUGAGGGUAGGUCUACCUCCUUCCCUAGCCUGGGAAGUCUUUGCUGGA